rnacentral:rRNA from 1 species
AUGCGUUGUUGGGUAGGGGAGCGUUCUGUAAGCCUGUGAAGGUGGCCUGUGAGGGUUGCUGGAGGUAUCAGAAGUGCGAAUGCUGACAUAAGUAACGAUAAAGCGGGUGAAAAGCCCGCUCGCCGGAAGACCAAGGGUUCCUGUCCAACGUUAAUCGGGGCAGGGUGAGUCGACCCCUAAGGCGAGGCCGAAAGGCGUAGUCGAUGGGAAACGGGUUAAUAUUCCCGUACUUGGUGUUACUGCGAAGGGGGGACGGAGAAGGCUAUGUUGGCCGGGCGACGGUUGUCCCGGUUUAAGCGUGUAGGUGUGUGUUCCAGGUAAAUCCGGUUCACUUUAACACUGAGGCGUGACGACGAGGCACUACGGUGCUGAAGCAACAAAUGCCCUGCUUCCAGGAAAAGCCUCUAAGCAUCAGGUAACAUCAAAUCGUACCCCAAACCGACACAGGUGGUCAGGUAGAGAAUACCAAGGCGCUUGAGAGAACUCGGGUGAAGGAACUAGGCAAAAUGGUGCCGUAACUUCGGGAGAAGGCACGCUGACACGUAGGUGAAGUGAUUUACUCACGGAGCUGAAGUCAGUCGAAGAUACCAGCUGGCUGCAACUGUUUAUUAAAAACACAGCACUGUGCAAACACGAAAGUGGACGUAUACGGUGUGACGCCUGCCCGGUGCCGGAAGGUUAAUUGAUGGGGUCAGCGCAAGCGAAGCUCCUGAUCGAAGCCCCGGUAAACGGCGGCCGUAACUAUAACGGUCCUAAGGUAGCGAAAUUCCUUGUCGGGUAAGUUCCGACCUGCACGAAUGGCGUAAUGAUGGCCAGGCUGUCUCCACCCGAGACUCAGUGAAAUUGAACUCGCUGUGAAGAUGCAGUGUACCCGCGGCAAGACGGAAAGACCCCGUGAACCUUUACUAUAGCUUGACACUGAACAUUGAGCCUUGAUGUGUAGGAUAGGUGGGAGGCUUUGAAGCGUGGACGCCAGUCUGCGUGGAGCCGACCUUGAAAUACCACCCUUUAAUGUUUGAUGUUCUAACGUGGACCCGUUACCCGGGUUGCGGACAGUGUCUGGUGGGUAGUUUGACUGGGGCGGUCUCCUCCUAAAGAGUAACGGAGGAGCACGAAGGUUGGCUAAUCCUGGUCGGACAUCAGGAGGUUAGUGCAAUGGCAUAAGCCAGCUUGACUGCGAGCGUGACGGCGCGAGCAGGUGCGAAAGCAGGUCAUAGUGAUCCGGUGGUUCUGAAUGGAAGGGCCAUCGCUCAACGGAUAAAAGGUACUCCGGGGAUAACAGGCUGAUACCGCCCAAGAGUUCAUAUCGACGGCGGUGUUUGGCACCUCGAUGUCGGCUCAUCACAUCCUGGGGCUGAAGUAGGUCCCAAGGGUAUGGCUGUUCGCCAUUUAAAGUGGUACGCGAGCUGGGUUUAGAACGUCGUGAGACAGUUCGGUCCCUAUCUGCCGUGGGCGCUGGAGAACUGAGGGGGGCUGCUCCUAGUACGAGAGGACCGGAGUGGACGCAUCACUGGUGUUCGGGUUGUCAUGCCAAUGGCACUGCCCGGUAGCUAAAUGCGGAAGAGAUAAGUGCUGAAAGCAUCUAAGCACGAAACUUGCCCCGAGAUGAGUUCUCCCUGAGACUUAGAGUCUCCUGAAGGAACGUUGAAGACGACGACGUUGAUAGGCCGGGUGUGUAAGCGCAGCGAUGCGUUGAGCUAACCGGUACUAAUGAACCGUGAGGCUUAACCUUACAACGCCGAAG